UACGUAGGGGGCUAGCGUUGCUCGGAAUCACUGGGCGUAAAGCGCACGUAGGCGGAUUGUUAAGUCGGGGGUGAAAUCCUGGAGCUCAACUCCAGAACUGCCUUUGAUACUGGCGAUCUUGAGUCCGGGAGAGGUGAGUGGAACUGCGAGUGUAGAGGUGAAAUUCGUAGAUAUUCGCAAGAACACCAGUGGCGAAGGCGGCUCACUGGCCCGAUACUGACGCUGAGGUGCGAAAGCGUGGGGAGCAAACAGG
rnacentral:rRNA from 1 species